rnacentral:ncRNA from 1 species
CGCCUCUGGAAAGCGGUGGCUGCGGGCUGCCCGCCCAUGGGGAAAGGGGUCCGGCUGCGGCCGCGACCACCGAAUCUCUCAGGCGCCACGACAGAGGGGGAGGG